rnacentral:rRNA from 1 species
UACGGAGGGGGCUAGCGUUGUUCGGAAUUACUGGGCGUAAAGCGCGCGUAGGCGGCUUUGUAAGUUAGAGGUGAAAGCCCGGAGCUCAACUCCGGAAUUGCCUUUAAGACUGCAUCGCUUGAAUCAUGGAGAGGUGAGUGGAAUUCCGAGUGUAGAGGUGAAAUUCGUAGAUAUUCGGAAGAACACCAGUGGCGAAGGCGACUUACUGGACGAUUGUUGACGCUGAGGUGCGAAAGCGUGGGGAGCAAACAGG